AGAGAUGUUUAUUUAUGUAAAUGGUGUGAGGCUUUACCAUGUAUAUAAUAGGCCAAUGGCUAUGCUGUGCACGCGAAACAUGUCCUGCCCCUUUAAAUCACGAAGGGAGUUACCAUGGAAACUGAAGGAGCACGAGGACAGCUAGCUCCGUCUCCCGCGGUUUCUUCGCUGUUUUCAAGAGUGACAAAAACCCUCUAUAAUAGAAGAGAAGCUCAAGAUUUCAACAUUUUCUGAAGGGAGUUGCAGACAGGUGUAGAAAACUGCUUUUCAAAUUUUCCACAUUUAUCACAGUUAUUUUAAGAUGUUGACAUCUAAACAUUUGUCCAUGCUAAUGGCCGAGCAGUAGGGUUGGAACAGACCUGUCAGAAAACAUCUCUGAACCAUAUGACUAAUUUCAAAACAAUUUAUUCUUGAGAGGAGGCACCACAGUUAAAGACAGUGUUUUGAAGAAUUUUGAACUUCCUGCUCACAAACUACAUACUUCUCCAGUUAGUCUGACAGGCUAUCAAUGAGAAGGCGGCAUAACAGGACACCACUGAAAACUAUACCACUAAAAACUGAUUAUUGCAGCAGUCAGAAGAAAAAGAUUAACAGCAACUAUCUGCUUGAGACCAAGAGAUUGAGCACUGGGUUAAGACAUGGUUGCAGCUUGCCACAGACAGAGAUGAAGGUCGUUGGGCAAAAGAGAAGAUUUAAAGGCAUAGCUCACCCAAAAAUGGAAACUCAUUUACUUACCAUCAAGAUGUUUCAAACUCUAUCAAAUGUAUUUGUUCAGUUACUGACUGUUAUAAAUUAUACAGGUUUGGAACAACCUUUGGGUGAGCAAAAUUACAGUUUUAAUUUUAAUUAGUGAACUAUCCCUAUUGUGAGUUUUAUAAGUUUAUUAAGAAAUGUUGAGUAUUAUAUCAGAGUUUUGUAUGUAAGGAGAUGGUAGUUGUACGUUUGUGUGUUAAUAUAGAUGGUUUCAGUGGCAACAACAUAAAUCACUUUCAUGGCCCAAACUUAACUUCGGGUAGACCUCCACAUAGAUUCAAUAACAACCGAGUAUCUCUGGAGCAGUUUUUUUUCUGAAAACAAACAAAAUAAAUAACCAGUAAAUAGCCUUAGAUCAAAUCAUAGCUAAAGCAUUUCAACCAUUACAUUGAUCUAAUGUUACUGGGUAAAAUUAAGCUUUACAAUUUUAGCUACAGAUCUUUGAAAAUGUUUGUACGGUAUACUGUCCAUUUCCAGAAAGGUAAUAAAAACAGCGUGCACAGUGACGCUGCUGACGUGUUAUCCUCAGACAUGUUUGUGAAGAUUGUUUUGUUUAUAGCGUGCGUCUCCCUCAGACUGUAAAAAAAGCUUGGGAACAAGAAAAAGCUUGGGCAAACAAGAUAACAUGUCAGCAGCGUCACUCCAGUGUUGUGCACGAGGUUCACAACAGACCUGGAAGAGAAGACGAUGCUGAAUAAAGUCAUAAUUUCUGUUAUUUUUGGACCAAAAUUUAUUUUCGAUGCUUCAACACAUUCUAACUGACCCACUGAUAUCACAUGGACUACUUUGAUGAUGUACAGUAUAUAUUUGAUCGUGUAUACACAUAUCUAAAACAUCUUAAACUGUUUCCGAAGAUGAACGGAGGUGUUAAGGGUUUGGAAUGACAUGAGGGUCAUUAAUUACAUAAUUUUCAUUUUGGAUGAAAUAACCCUUUAAGUUUGGCCAGGUGUGUAACUGUGGCAACGCACAUGCAUCUAUGGGUUCCAGUAUAUCUUACUAUAUAACAUAUUAAUUUAACUAACAUGUUUGACAAAUAUAAUUAUGUUUAUUUAUAAAUUAUUAUCUGUAUUGGAUUUUUUAAAUGUUUAAUAAAGAAAUUUUGACUAUA